UGAGAAAGUUCCACGAUGUGCAUGUCAAA
rnacentral:piRNA from 1 species